rnacentral:misc_RNA from 1 species
GGAAGUAAAAGCCGUAACAAGGUUUCCGUAGGUGAACCUGCGGAAGGAUCAUUCAUAAUAAAGUGUUUUAUGGCACUUUUUGAAAAUCCAUAUCCACCUUGUGUGCAAUGUUGGAUCUCGUCAAUCUUGGCGAGAUUUUUAUACAUCAACUCAUUCUCUAACUAAUUUGUCUGAAAAAUAUUAUGAAUACUUAAUUCAAAAUACAACUUUCAACAACGGAUCUCUUGGCUCUC